CUUGUCAUACGCCUUCUCCAAGUCGAUAAGCAUCAUGUGCAGGUCCUUCUUCUUAUCCCUGAACUACUCCACCAGCCUCCUGACAAGGUAGAUAGCUUAUAUAGUGGAGCGACCCGGCAUGAAACCGAACUGGUUCACAAAUAUAAAUAUCAUCUCCCUCACCCUCGCCUCGAUCACCCGCUCUCAAACCUUCAUGGUGUGACUUAUUAAUUUGAUACCCAUAUAUUUGUUGCAGCACUGGAUGUCCCCUUUGUUCUUGUACAAGGGCACCACUGUACUCCACCUUCACUCCCCGGCAUCCUUUUGGUCCUGAAGAUCGCAUUGAACAACCUGGAGAACCACUCCACUCCUGACCUAUCCAUGCAUUUCC
rnacentral:lncRNA from 1 species